GACGAACGCUGGCGGCGUGCCUAAUACAUGCAAGUGGGACGCAAGGAAACACACUGUGCUUGCACACCGUGUUUUCUUGAGUCGCGAACGGGUGAGUAACGCGUAGGUAACCUGCCUAUUAGCGGGGGAUAACUAUUGGAAACGAUAGCUAAUACCGCAUAAUAUUAAUUAUUGCAUGAUAAUUGAUUGAAAGAUGCAAGCGCAUCACUAGUAGAUGGACCUGCGUUGUAUUAGCUAGUUGGUAAGGUAAGAGCUUACCAAGGCGACGAUACAUAGCCGACCUGAGAGGGUGAUCGGCCACACUGGGACUGAGACACGGCCCAGACUCCUACGGGAGGCAGCAGUAGGGAAUCUUCGGCAAUGGAAGAAAGUCUGACCGAGCAACGCCGCGUGAGUGAAGAAGGUUUUCGGAUCGUAAAGCUCUGUUGUAAGUCAAGAACGUGUGUGAGAGUGGAAAGUUCACACAGUGACGGUAGCUUACCAGAAAGGGACGGCUAACUACGUG
rnacentral:rRNA from 1 species